rnacentral:miRNA from 12 species
GGGGGGGGGGGGGGGGGGGGGGGGGGGGGGGGGGGGGGGGGGGGGGGGGGGCCACCCAGCCCGGGGGCGACCACCCACCUC